GACACAACUCUCAGACCGAAUUAGGCCCAUUUGGAUAGGUUUUUAAAAUCUCCAUGGGUAACAAACAGAGAAGACUUUUUCCCUCACAGUGGCCUGGACUGAACACUUGUUUCUUCAAAGUUCUUUUUAGAGCACUAUGCAAAGAAAGAGAAAGAAAUUCUCCACUCUGUGUGUGAACACAUCUGCUAUUAAUGCUGAGGGGAGUUAAGUGUCCGCUUCUACAGGAGAAUUCACCCCAGUGUUCUAUACUGAAAGAGGUUGGAACCUAAUUUAUCCAGAAGCUGGGGAGGACCUGAACUGGCUCUAGCAGUUCUGAAAGACCAAAAAAGCAACAGAACUUUCCUCUAACAAAACUGGUACAUUCAAGGAGAAGCUGCAGGAAUCAGUCUAAGUUACCACUGAUGAUAAAAUGUCAAACCAUUCUGGCAGGCACUUGUUCAGUCUUAAGGAGCUUUAAAUUACUUCACAGCUUGAGAUUCCAGACAAUCAGGCUACCAGGACCCAUGAUGCUGAUAUGAAAGAGGACUGACUUCAAGGAUGUUGAGAAAGAAGAUAGAAAUUUCCAUCUUCAUUGUUCAGGUUCCUUCAGCUACACAACUAGGAGAUUGUUCCUGUGAAUCCUAAACUUCAGAUAGGAGAUUGAUACCAGAAGGCACAACCAUUAGAAGAUGAGGUCUGAGGUCUGAUACACAGCUGCUGCUGUGGAGAUUUAGUUGGAAGAAUAUGUAUUUGCUGGAGAGUGCUCUUCAGACGACCCAACAGACCUCACGGCUGCCAGGAUUCAUUCUGUUGGGAUUACAGUCUCUCCCAUUUCUGCUCUUCUCUAUGAUGUUCUUUCUCUCUGGGGCUUGCCUUUCAUGAGGAGCUACACUCAGCAGAGGACUAACCUUAUCUGAUGGCUCUUUGGGACAAAUGCUGUAACACUUGCCCAUUUAUUAGUAUAAAAAUUUUCUUAAAACUCAGAAAAUGAAGAAUGAAUUAGUUCUCAGAAUGUCUGCACAUGGGUUGAAGUGAAAUUUAUGCAUUUACUGAACUCCUGUUUGAGAGAUGUGUCUGAGGUCAAGAAAAGGUUAAAGUUGUUUACUGCCUUCAAGCUCUGGUCUUAGAAGUUAAUUCAGAGCUGUGGUGUGAGCAGCUACAGAGAAUAAGUCCUUGGAGCAGUGAAUUGCUGGUAUGAUGUCAAGGUCCAUGGGCCUUAAUAAUAAAAUUAGUUUGUUUCUUAAGGAAAUCCUAGCAGAGACUUUAUAGUUAUAUAAAGUCAUUACACUGUUUUUCAACAUAACUUUAAGGAUGCUUUGGAAUGAUCAGAG